AUACGGAGGAUCCGAGCGUUAUCCGGAUUUAUUGGGUUUAAAGGGUGCGCAGGCGGGAGAUUAAGUCGGCGGUGAAAUUUUGCAGCUCAACUGUAAAAAUGCCUUCGAAACUGGUUUCCUUGAGUGUAGAUGAAGUAGGCGGAAUUUGUGGGGUAGCGGUGAAAUGCAUAGAUAUCACGAGGAACUACGAUUGCGCAGGCAGCUUACUAAACUACUACUGACGCUCAGGCACGAAGGCGUGGGGAUCAAACAGGAAUAGAUACCCUGGUAGUCCACGCAGUAAACGAUGAUUACUAGCUGUUUGCGAUACAAUGUAAGCGGCUGAGCGAAAGCGUUAAGUAAUCCACCUGGGGAGUACGGUCGCAAGAAUGAAACUCAAAUGAAUUGACGGGG
rnacentral:rRNA from 1 species